rnacentral:lncRNA from 10 species
GCAUGGGGUGGGUAAUAGGGCAUGUGAUUUGAAUGAGUAUUCCCAGCCAUUUAAUAUAUUCACAAGUCAAACUAUAAAGUAUUUCUUUAAAAAAAUUAUAGUAUUUCACUGAAGUUUGAAUGUACUUUCUCUUGCCAAAAUAAUCAGAGUCUUUCAUUUUUCUAAUGAUAAAAAUGUGCUACAUGUGUAGGAAAAUUUCCCAAAUGAAAAAUAACAUUUUCUAUGGCAGCACAUACAGUGCUUGAAUUUUUCACCUUAGAUUUUAUUCUAGCCAGACCUAAACUCUGUCUUACUUGCAUAAUGAUAAUUCAUGUCGUCAAACCAAACGCACUGUUUGCUGCUCGUUUGUCCAGGAGCCAUCUUUUCCUAAAGUGAGCAAUAUUACGUGCAUUUUGUCUGGCUGGCCGAGGGCUCCUCCCUACAGCUUCUGCAGCCAUGGAAGAGUCUGGAAGGACAGUGUUCGCUUGUACAAGAAGAGGGAAGGAUAGGAUGAGAAAAGCAAAAUCUUGGAGAGUCUGUGGUCGGAAGAAGAAAGCUGAAGCUGGUUAGGAGGAAGGAGUGUGUGAGUGAAUUAGGAGCUGAAGCAGUAAAGUAGCUUUCCCUGUGACCCUGAUGUGUCGGGCAUUUCUGUCUUAGACUAAAAGCAUAAUAAAAAAGGCACUUUGUUUAGGUUAACAGAGCAUUAUAUAACUGGAAAGUUUUACAGUUUUAUAUAUAUAGUGAAUAGUUUGUAGAGGAUAAAAAGACUUCCCUUUGGUUUAUUAUUUGGGUAAAAUAAAAACCCACGAAUCAUUUAAGGAUGCAUUUCUUUUUCUUUUUUCUGCCUUUUUUUUUUUAAGACAAAAGCUUGAAGGCAUAAAAUGGAGUUAUUUUCAUCGGGAUAUCACCCUCGAUGCUGCUGCUUUACUACAUGUUCAUAGUCAAAAUUAUUUCAUGUUUCCCUUGAAUAACUACGAUCAGUUUGAAAACAGCUUUGUUAAUUAGUAAGAGAUGACGCAAUAUAUCACUGCAUCUUUAGGGCUCUGGCGCCAGCUAGUGGUAGGAGAGGGGAGCCGCCCUGUCGCUCUCAAAUCUGGGAAGGCGUCGGUCUUCUCGCGUCCCCUUAUCCCUCAUCCUCCUCAUUUUUUUUUUCCAUCAGCAUAAUGGGGGAAUCAUUGCAGUGUGGCCAGAGAGGAGCAGACGAGAUUAUAGAUGAAAGUAGAGAAAAACGGUGGGCAGGGGCAGGGAGAGGAAAGGCCAGACAAAUGCAAUCAUUUCUCCAAAGGAUUUGAGAAGAGAUCAUUUAUUUGAAAUAUUCCUGCCAUGUUGAUGGAGCAGCUCAAUCUUUUGCCAGUGAAUCUUUAGCGUUUUGUUUUUCAUUUGUAGAUAUGGUUGAACAUAUACUUAGGACACGUAAUAACUAUGGAACUUCAUCACAAACACAGCACUGAGGACAUGUUAAGGAGACAUGCAUACAAGGAGAAUGCCAGGUGAACGUGAAGACCAUCAUUUGCAAGCCAAGAGAGGCCUGGAGCAGAUCCUUCAGAGCCCUCAGAAGGGACCAACCCUGCUGGCACCUUGAUUUUGGACUUCCAGCCUCCAGAACUAAGAACUUGAUGUAUACCUCCUGACCUGUUCAUCUUGUAGCUGCCUCUUGACAGAUAUAAGAGGCCGCCCUGUAGAGGAGGAAGGAGGAAGUUGGCUGUGAUUGACCUUGCUAGGUCAUCUUCCUAAUCUUUGUCCUUUCCUGCACCCCAAAUGGAAGAUAAAAGGCAAUGCAAGAUCAGCAUCCUCAGAGACAUCGUUUUGUUUGGGUUUCAUGGAUUGCAAUUGCCAGAGAUGCUUAGGCUGCCUCUAGAGGGAAGAUGAUUGAUUGUUAACCUAUGUGGUCCAACCAAAUGUCUUAGGGGUUAUUGAUAAUUAAAAUGGACAAUAGCGAUUUUCCAUUUCUUCUGGCCUUGGGUGCUGGCAUGUGGAAGUGGUAUUGAUACUCAUGACCAAAUAGGCACUUAUCGAUUUCAGUUUUCAUAAGUUGCCUACCAAAUGCAAACUAGUAACCCAGACGUGGGAGACCUAAUAUUCCAUUGUUAAUCUUUAGGUCCAUAAUUUUUAUUUCCUCUACUUGCCUCUUCUUCCUUCCUCUGCAUAAUGAGUUGGGCUUAUAUAAUUGCACCCAUUUACUCACUCAUUCGUUCAAUCAAUUAUUUGUUCCUAUUUUAUGCCAAGUAAUGAACAGAAGGUGUUGGGGAUGCAAAACCCAACUAAUUGGAAUUUCUAUGUUACAGGAGCUUAUGCUUUAGUGAAAUUAUAGACAAAUUAUUAUACAGUUUUAAUCCAGAAUAGUAAGUGCUAUGGGAGCAUGCACAGAGGAAACAACCCAAUCUUAAGGAAUCAGGAAGGUUUGCAGAGGACUGACAGGAAAAGUGGGCAGGUGAAGAAGAUGGGCAGUGAGAGGAGGAGUGGAAGCACUUUUGCUAGGGAAAAACAUGAAUAAAAGGGAUAAUUUUCUGCUCUUACCCCUGGGUGAUCUUUGCGUGGUACUGUCCAUCACAGUUGGGAGAGACGGCUCCUCAGAGCUGCUCCACACUGUUCACAGAGGAUGCCAUUCCAAGGAAACUGGGGAAUAGGGAAAGUCUUUAGCUUAUUCCUCUUUGAGGUUUGUUUGAGAUGCAGUUUCUUCAAUAUUUUGAGUCUAUGAAAACAUGUUGUAUACUUAAAUAUAUACCACAAAAAAUAAAAAAAAUUGCGAUUUAAA